CAGUCGCCACGGGAAUACAGAGGGUGCGAGCGUUAAUCGGAUUUACUGGGCGUAAAGCGUGCGUAGGCGGCUUCUUAAGUCGGAUGUGAAAUCCCUGAGCUUAACUUAGGAAUUGCAUUCGAUACUGGGAAGCUAGAGUAUGGGAGAGGAUGGUAGAAUUCCAGGUGUAGCGGUGAAAUGCGUAGAGAUUUGGAGGAAUACCGAUGGCGAAGGCAGCCAUCUGGCCUAAUACUGACGCUGAGGUACGAAAGCAUGGGGAGCAAACAGGAUUAGAUACCCCGGUAGUCCCUGUCUCUUAUAC
rnacentral:rRNA from 1 species